UCUUUCCCACUCGCCGCUCUUCGGAUAUGGUAUCGUUAAUUAAAUCUUCGGUACGCUAACUUUGUUCACGUCCAUGUGUUCGUUGAUGGUUUAAACGCCAGAGAAAUUAUUGACGGUAUCAUCGAGGGAAUAGCUACGUGAUGCGAGUGACAUAGUUUUUUCGCUCUCACUCCCCCUUAAGUAUAAAAAAAGAAACCAUCGUGCAU